rnacentral:rRNA from 1 species
GAUGAACGCUAGCGGCAGGCUUAAUACAUGCAAGUCGAGGGGUAGCAAGAUUGUAGCAAUACAAUUGUUGACGACCGGCAAACGGGUGCGGAACACGUACACAACCUGCCCUUUACCGGGGGAUAGCCCGUCGAAAGGCGGAUUAAUACCCCAUAAGAUCAUUUUUCUGCAUGGGAUGAUGAUUAAAGCUUCGGUGGUAAAGGAUGGGCAUGCGUGACAUUAGCUAGUUGGUAGGGUAACGGCCUACCAAGGCUACGAUGUCUAGGGGUUCUGAGAGGAAGGUCCCCCACACUGGUACUGAGACACGGCCCAAACUCCUACGGGAGGCAGCAGUGGGGAAUCUUGCGCAAUGGGCGAAAGCCUGACGCAGCCAUGCCGCGUGUAUGAUGAAGGUCUUAGGAUUGUAAAAUACUUUCACCGGUGAAGAUAAUGACUGUAGCCGGAGAAGAAGCCCCGGCUAACUUCGUG